AAUGUGCUGCGGUUUUCUAAAAAGCCAUGGAAGAUUAUAAAGAUAAUUUAUAAGUUUUAUUGUUGAGGAUUGAAGACGAAUUCCCUUCUAAGUUUACCCUCUCGAGUGCAUGUGGCCAAUGAGUUCUGACGGCAAUUUGGAAAUGCAACAAGUGAACAUGUAAAGACAUGUCCGUCAUGGAAUAAAUAUGCCCGUGAAAAUCCA